rnacentral:rRNA from 1 species
CGGGGUGCACCAGGCGCGAAAACUCUACAAUGCAGGCAACUGCGAUAGGGGAACAUCGAGUGAUCCUCAUAUUGGGGGUCUGUCCACUCGCCUAAAAAGCGGGUGUUAGCAAGGGCCGGGCAAGACCGGUGCCAGCCGCCGCGGUAAUACCGGCGGCUCGAGUGGUGGCCGAUAUUAUUGAGUCUAAAGGGUCCGUAGCCGGCUUUGCUAGUCUCUCGGGAAAUCCAGCGGCUUAACCGUUGGUCGUCCGGGGGGUACUACAUUGCUUGGGACUGGGAGAGGUAGGAGGUACUCAGGGGGUAGGAGUGAAAUCCUGUAAUCCUUUGGGGACCACCGGUGGCGAAGGCGUCCUACCAGAACAGGUCCGACGGUGAGGGACGAAAGCUAGGGGCACGAACCGGAUUAGAUACCCGGGUAGUCCUAGCCGUAAACGAUGCUCGCUAGGUGUCACAACAGUCGUGAACUGUUGUGGUGCCGUAGGGAAGCCGUGAAGCGAGCCACUUGGGAAGUACGACCGCAAGGUUGAAACUUAAAGGAAUUGGCGGGGGAGCAC